UACGUACUGUGCGAACGUUAUUCGGAAUCACUGGGCUUAAAGGGUGCGUAGGCGGCCGAUUAAGUAGGGUGUGAAAUGCCUCGGCUCAACCGAGGAAUGGCGCUCUAAACUGGUCGGCUUGAGUGAGAUAGGGGUGUGCGGAACUUCCAGUGGAGCGGUGAAAUGUGUUGAUAUUGGAAGGAACGCCGGUAGCGAAAGCGGCACACUGGGUCUCAACUGACGCUGAGGCACGAAAGCCAGGGUAGCGAAC
rnacentral:rRNA from 1 species